rnacentral:rRNA from 1 species
GAGUUUGAUCAUGGCUCAGAUUGAACGCUGGCGGCAGGCCUAACACAUGCAAGUCGAGCGGUAGAGAGAAGCUUGCUUCUCUUGAGAGCGGCGGACGGGUGAGUAAUGCCUAGGAAUCUGCCUGGUAGUGGGGGAUAACGCUCGGAAACGGACGCUAAUACCGCAUACGUCCUACGGGAGAAAGCAGGGGACCUUCGGGCCUUGCGCUAUCAGAUGAGCCUAGGUCGGAUUAGCUAGUUGGUGAGGUAAUGGCUCACCAAGGCGACGAUCCGUAACUGGUCUGAGAGGAUGAUCAGUCACACUGGAACUGAGACACGGUCCAGACUCCUACGGGAGGCAGCAGUGGGGAAUAUUGGACAAUGGGCGAAAGCCUGAUCCAGCCAUGCCGCGUGUGUGAAGAAGGUCUUCGGAUUGUAAAGCACUUUAAGUUGGAGGAAGGGCAGUAAUUAAUACUUUGCUGUUUUGACGUUACCGACAGAAUAAGCACCGGCUAACUCUGUGCCAG